rnacentral:rRNA from 1 species
UAACCUGCCUUGGAGUGGGGAAUAACACAGUGAAAACUGUGCUAAUACCGCAUAAUGCAUUUGGGUCGCAUGAUUCUGAAUGCCAAAGAUUUAUCGCUCUGAGAUGGACUCGCGUCUGAUUAGCUAGUUGGCGGGGUAACGGCCCACCAAGGCGACGAUCAGUAGCCGGACUGAGAGGUUGACCGGCCACAUUGGGACUGAGACACGGCCCAG